rnacentral:rRNA from 1 species
UACGGAAGGCAGCAGUGGGGAAUAUUGCACAAUGGGCGCAAGCCUGAUGCAGCCAUGCCGCGUGUAUGAAGAAGGCCUUCGGGUUGUAAAGUACUUUCAGUCGUGAGGAAGGUGUUAAGGUUAAUAACCUUAGCAAUUGACGUUAGCGACAGAAGAAGCACCGGCUAACUCCGUGCCAGCAGCCGCGGUAAUACGGAGGGUGCGAGCGUUAAUCGGAAUUACUGGGCGUAAAGGGCACGCAGGCGGUUAAUUAAGUUGGAUGUGAAAUCCCCGGGCUUAACCUGGGAAUGGCAUUCAAGACUGGUUAGCUAGAGUCUUGUAGAGGGGGUAGAAUUCCAUGUGUAGCGGUGAAAUGCGUAGAGAUGUGGAGGAAUACCGGUGGCGAAGGCGGCCCCUGGGCAAAGGCUGACGCUCAUGUGCGAAAGCGUGGGGAGCGAAACAGGAUUAGAUACC